rnacentral:piRNA from 1 species
UACGUUGGGUGUAUUAGAUUAGCUAC